GAUGAACGCCUGCUUCUUUCCUAAUACAUUCAAGUCGAGCGCACAGACGAGGAGCUUGCUCCUCUGACGUUAGCGGCGGACGGGUGAGUAACACGUGGAUAACCUACCUAUAAGACUGGGAUAACUUCGGGAAACCGGAGCUAAUACCGGAUAAUAUAUUGAACCGCAUGGUUCAAUAGUGAAAGACGGUUUUGCUGUCACUUAUAGAUGGAUCCGCGCCGCAUUAGCUAGUUGGUAAGGUAACGGCUUACCAAGGCAACGAUGCGUAGCCGACCUGAGAGGGUGAUACGCCACACUGGAACUGAGACACGGUCCAGACUCCUACGGGAGGCAGCAGUAGGGAAUCUUCCGCAAUGGGCGAAAGCCUGACGGAGCAACGCCGCGUGAGUGAUGAAGGUCUUCGGAUCGUAAAACUAUGGGAUUAGGGAAGAACAAAUGUGUAAGUAACUAUGCACGUCUUGACGGUACCUAAUCAGAAAGCCAAGGCUAAAUACGGG
rnacentral:rRNA from 1 species